GUGACUUUCUCCUUCUAGUGCUAUUUUUGUGACACAAACUUCAAAAGGUGCGAUUAUUGACAAUUGCCCAUAUUAUUUUCAUUGUACACUUAAAAAUAUUUAGGUUUACUAUGUUAACACAAUAUAAUCGAAUACAAAUAAUAUAAGACCACAGCUCUUAUUUUUAUCAUUAUUAUGUUCCAAUAUUUAUUUCAAAUGAUCUACACUUUAAACAUGUAAGCUCCAUCUAUUAAUAAUGAUCUAGUUUUGUAUUAAAAAGAAGAUAUUGUAUCCAUAAAAUUUAACCAAUACAUUUACCGUAAAAUCAAGUAUUCUUCAUAAUCUUGCAUAAAUCAUAUUUUAAAAUAUAUAAAAUCUAAAAAAAAUCUGUAAAUUAAUAACUCUAUAAACUAGGAAAAUAUCAAAAUUUCAAUAAUAUUAAUGUUACAGUUUUUAUUCUAUAGAAAACAAAUAGUUUUUUAAAAAAAUUAGCAACAAUGACUUAUCUAAACAUAAAUAACAUACAAAUAUGAAGUAUAAAAAAAAAACUUCUUUAAACUAGCAUCAGACAUCUAGUUAUUAAUUUUUAGAUAAAGGCAUUUACAUUUAAAGGUAUUCAAAAUAUUAGUAUAUUGCAGAUACUUUAAACUAUUAUGCAUUUUUUUAUAUAAAAAUAACUGUUGUUUCUUAUACCCUUCUCUAUCUCUUGCUUAUUAUAUCCUUUUUGCUUAGCAAACACUAAACCAUCCUCUCAGUUGCUCUGUCAAACUGUCAAAGCGUUCUUCUCAACAUUUUUCUCUAUUGAUUUCGUGAGUAGAAGUUUUGGAUUUUGUCCUUUCUUUAUUUUUGUAAGAAGUAUUAAAUCUGAGACUUCUUAUAGUUUUGAAAAUAUAAUUUCCCUUUUCUAUUCAAAUGACAUGCAUUUUUAUGCAUGUAUAGUUGGAUCAACCGAUUUUUUUUUCAUUUUUCUUAAUACUUAUCAGAGACACCAUUAUUAUUAUAACAAAGUUUAAAAAUUUUUAAAAACUAAUUUAAAGUGUUUACUAUGAAAAUGCUAGUUAUAUUACAUCAACAAUAUGAUGUUUACAAUACUUACAGUUUAAAACUAUU